AACGCUGGCGGCGUGCCUCAGACAUGCAAGUCGAACGAUUAAAGCUCUCUUCGGAGAGUGUAUAGAGUGGCGCACGGGUGAGUAACACGUAAGUAAUCUACCCUCGAGUGGGGAAUAACAACCGGAAACGGUUGCUAAUACCGCAUAAUGCAGCGGCACCGCAAGGUGACAGUUGUUAAAGAUUUAUCGCUUGAGGAGGAGCUUGCGGCAGAUUAGCUAGUUGGUAGGGUAACGGCUUACCAAGGCUACGAUCUGUAACCGGUCUAAGAGGACGGUCGGUCACACUGACACUGAAUAACGGGUCAGACUCCUACGGGAGGCAGCAGUCGGGAAUUUUGGGCAAUGGGCGAAAGCCUGACCCAGCAACGCCGCGUGAAGGAUGAAGUAUUUCGGUAUGUAAACUUCGAAAGAAUAGGAAGAAUUAAUGACGGUACUAUUUAUAAGGUCCGGCUAACUACGUG
rnacentral:rRNA from 1 species